GGAUGUGAGGGCAAUCUGGCUUUGACAUCUAUCACCCCACCAAAGUUGAUUUAACUGAUCUGACUGGCCAGGUGGGUGUCCCCUUCUUCCCUCACGGCUCCACAUGCAUCCCUGCUGCUUCUGCAUGCUUGGGAGAAGAGGCUGACCUUCCGCCAUCUAGGAGGACUGUAUUUGGUCAUGGGAGGAACUGUGCUUCCCUGCCAGAACCUCCAAACAAGCUCUGUAGAGCAGAGGGCAAGGGAGUUCUCAGAUAAGAUGGGAA
ensembl:misc_RNA 7SK 7SK RNA